rnacentral:rRNA from 1 species
UACAGAGGUCUCAAGCGUUGUUCGGAAUUACUGGGCGUAAAGGGCUCGUAGGCGGCCAACUAAGUCAUACGUGAAAUCCCUCGGCUUAACCGGGGAACUGCGUCUGAUACUGGAUGGCUUGAGUUCGGGAGAGGGAUGCGGAAUUCCAGGUGUAGCGGUGAAAUGCGUAGAUAUCUGGAGGAACACCGGUGGCGAAGGCGGCAUCCUGGACCGAUACUGACGCUGAGGAGCGAAAGCCAGGGGAGCAAACGGG